CCCAUGUGAGUCAUUGCAGCAAUGCCAAGGCAGACGGCUCAGUAACACGUAGUCAACCUAACCUAUGGACGGGGAUAACCUCGGGAAACUGAGGAUAAUACCCGAUAGAUCAUUAUGCCUGGAAUGGCUUAUGGUCCAAAUGAUUCGUUGCCAUAGGAUGGGACUGCGGCCUAUCAGCUUGUUGGUGAGGUAGUGGCCCACCAAGGCUAUUACAGGUACGGGCUCUGAGAGGAGAAGCCCGGAGAUGGGUACUGAGACACGGACCCAGGUCCUAUGGGGCGCAGCAGGCGAGAAACCUUUGCAAUGUGCGCAAGCACGACAAGGUUAAUCCGAGUGAUUCCUGCUAAAGGAAUCUUUUGUUAGUUGUAAAACCACUGAUGAAUAAGGGGUGGGCAAGUUCUGGUGUCAGCCGCCGCGGUAAAACCAGCACCUCAAGUGGUCAGGAGGAUUAUUGGGCCUAAAGCAUCCGUAGCCUGUCCUGUAAGUUUCCGGUUAAAUCCAUUUGUUCAACAAAUGGGCUGUCGAAAAUACUGCAGGACUAGGGAGUGGGAGAGGUAGACGGUACUCGGUAGGAAGGGGUAAAAUCCUUUGAUCUAUUGAUGACCACCUGUGGCGAAGGCGGUCUACCAGAACACGUUCGACGGUGAGGGAUGAAAGCUGGGGGAGCAAACCGGAUUAGAUACCCGGGUAGUCCCAGCUGUAAACGAUGCAGACUCGGUGAUGCCCUGGCUUGUGGGCAGUGCAGUGCCGCAGGAAGCCGUUAAGUUUGCCGCUGGGAAGUACGUACGCAAGUAUGAAACUUAAAGGAAUU
rnacentral:rRNA from 1 species